UGGGUGAGUAACACGUGCCUAAUCUACCUUUUAGAUUGGAAUACCCAUUGGAAACAAUGGCUAAUGCCGGAUACGCAUGGAACCGCAUGGUUCCGUUGUGAAAGGCGCUGUAAGGCGCCACUAAAAGAUGAGGGUGCGGAACAUUAGUUAGUUGGUGAGGUAAUGGCCCACCAAGACUAUGAUGUUUAGCCGGGUCGAGAGACUGAACGGCCACAUUUGGACUGAGAUACGGCCCAAACUCCUACGGGAGGCAGCAGCA
rnacentral:rRNA from 1 species